rfam:Salmo salar isolate Sally breed double haploid chromosome ssa04, whole genome shotgun sequence.
UGUAUUAACGACUGUAAGUCGCUCUGGAUAAGAGCGUCUGCUAAAUGACUAAAA